GAAGAGUGUCCGAGUUGGUCUAUGGUAUCACUUUUGAAAAGUGACGUCGUGAAAGCGACCGGGGGUUCGAAUCCCUCCUCUUCCG
rnacentral:tRNA from 1 species